rnacentral:rRNA from 1 species
CAGCAGCCGCGGUAAUACGUAGGGUGCAAGCGUUAAUCGGAAUUACUGGGCGUAAAGCGUGCGCAGGCGGUCCGCUAAGACAGAUGUGAAAUCCCCGGGCUUAACCUGGGAACUGCAUUUGUGACUGGCGGGCUAGAGUAUGGCAGAGGGGGGUAGAAUUCCACGUGUAGCAGUGAAAUGCGUAGAGAUGUGGAGGAAUACCGAUGGCGAAGGCAGCCCCCUGGGCCAAUACUGACGCUCAUGCACGAAAGCGUGGGGAGCGAACAGGAUUAGAUACCCCGGUAGUCCCUGUCUCUUAUAA